UUUAACGAAACACGGCUUGUAACAAAAAUUAAAACAGUAGCCUACCAAGAAAGUCAUUGGUCACUAUCUUCCUCCUCCUGUGCACUGAAACCACUGAAGUCAUCUCCUUCGGUGUCGGAGUUGAAUAGCCUCAGAAUUGCGUCAUCCGAUGUUGGAUCGUUUUCAUUGUCGCUCUCGUCACUUUCAUCCGGAGGCAAAUACCCCGCUGAGCUCACGCUGCCCCUUCAACACGCAGCAGUCCAGCCUUUCGAAACCCGUUGAUGAUAGUGGAUUUUUUGACAAUGCUCCACGCUGUCAGCCUCCCACUGAACAAGGAGCACCACCUUAAAUGCACGAUUUACACUGAUGUCGAGUGGCUGCAAAUACUUUGGGCCAUCUGCUUUUCUUCCCUCUGAAAGCUUUUGUUGUCUUGUUGUUUGUUUCUGCACUGAGUCAGUUCCUCACGCUGCUGUUUCCAACGUCUUAUCAUCGACUCAUUAAGGCCAAGCUCCCGUGCAGCAGCUCUAUUUCCUUUUCCAACAGCCAGAUUUAUCGCCUUCAACUUGAAAGCUGCAUCAUAUGCAUUUCUCUGUGUCUUUGCCAUGAUGAGGGUGACAAAAUUACUACCGUAAUCAGAAUGAUGGGAAGUUUGAGCGCGCUCGAUUUACGUCACAUUAUGUGACGGUGCUCAGUUUUUUGGCGGCAUGAAUCUUGUGAAAGCGGGAAAAAUCCAUAAAUUAGCCGCGUCAUUGUAUAAACCGCGAGGUUCUAAGUGUGGGAAUAAAGUAGCGGCUUAUAGUCUGGACAUUACGGUACAUUAGAUCAGGUUUUAAGAGGGAAGGGCCCCGCUACGGGGGUUUGAAGUUUACCUCUCAUUAGCGUACAUUAGAUCAGGUUUUAAGAGGGAAGGGCCCCGCUACGGGGGUUUGAAGUUUACCUCUCAUUAGCGUACAUUAGAUCAGGUUUUAAGAGGGAAGGGCCCCGCUACGGGGGUUUGAAGUUUACCUCUCAUUAGCGUACAUUAGAUCAGGUUUUAAGAGGGAAGGGCCCCGCUACGGGGGUUUGAAGUUUACCUCUCAUUAGCAUACAUUAGAUCAGGUUUUAAGAGGGAAGGGCCCCGCUACGGGGGUUUGAAGUUUACCUCUCAUUAGCGUACAUUAGAUCAGGUUUUAAGAGGGAAGG